GAUGAACGCUAGCUACAGGCUUAACACAUGCAAGUCGAGGGGAAACGACAUCGAAAGCUUGCUUUUGAUGGGCGUCGACCGGCGCACGGGUGAGUAACGCGUAUCCAACCUGCCCACCACUUGGGGAUAAUCUUGCGAAAGUAAGACUAAUACCCGAUGAUAUCUCUAUAAGACAUCUGAAAGGGAUUAAAGAUUUAUCGGUGAUGGAUGGGGAUGCGUCUGAUUAGCUUGUUGGCGGGGUAACGGCCCACCAAGGCGACGAUCAGUAGGGGUUCUGAGAGGAAGGUCCCCCACAUUGGAACUGAGACACGGUCCAAACUCCUACGGGAGGCAGCAGUGAGGAAUAUUGGUCAAUGGGCGAGAGCCUGAACCAGCCAAGUAGCGUGCAGGAUGACGGCCCUAUGGGUUGUAAACUGCUUUUAUAAGGGAAUAAAGUGAGUCUCGUGAGACUUUUUGCAUGUACCUUAUGAAUAAGGACCGGCUAAUUCCGUG
rnacentral:rRNA from 1 species